AGAGGUUAACAUUAAAAUUAGAUUGUUAUAUGCCAUGAUAGAAAAGGGAAAUAAGGGGGGUCGGGCUGCGUGGGGCUGCGCGGCGGCAGCGGCGACGACGCCAGCGACUCCGGAGACUCUGGGCGGGACAGCGCGGGGCCAUGGCCCAGGCGACCCGGCUCCGGCCCGCAGCCUGCCAGGCGGUCUCCCAGCUGCUGGGGCCGCACAGACGCCCGAGAGAGGCCCUGCGCACGGGAGCCACGGAGCAUGCCGCGGGACUGUCGGCUAGGAAGGGAGCCUUUGGUCACCCCAAGGAGAGCCGCUUCAGGGGGUCAGGGGCCCGAAUGAGCAGUUGAGGAGUGCCUGGAAUGAGAAGGAAGGGAAAAGAGAGAACAGUAGCCGUGAGACUUCCGAAUGGGACUCCGAAGGCCUUACGUCGCUGCAGCCCCUUCCUCUUCGCACGCCCCCAGCAGCAAAUGAGGCACACCUGCAGACUGUGGCCAUCUCCCUGUGGACAGUGGUGGCAGCUGUGCAGGCUAUCGAGAGGAAGGUGGAGGUCCACAGCCGGCGACUCUUGCACCUAGAAGGACAGACGGGGACAGCAGAGAAGAAGCUAGCCAGCUGUGAAAAGACGGUGGCUGACCUUGGGAACCAACUGGAGGGCAAGUGGGCUGUGCUGGGGACCCUGCUGCAGGAGUAUGGGCUGCUGCAGAGGCGGCUGGAGAACUUGGAGGACCUGCUGAGGAACAGGAACUUCUGGAUUCUGGGCUGCCACCCGGCAUUAGAGGAGAUAUCCCGAAGGUGCCUGUGACAUUUGAUGAUAUCUCCAUCUACUUUUCCACUCCGGAGUGGGAAAAAACUGGAAGAAUGGCAAAAAGAACUUUACAAGAAUAUCAUGAAGGGCAACUACGAGUCUCUCAUCUCCAUGGAUUCAGCCAGAAAGAGAACAUACUACAGAGGACCAGGCAGGACCAGAGGAAAGUGAGAUUCCCACAGACCCCAGUGAAGAGCCUGGCAUUUCAACAUCAGAUAUUCUGUCUUGGAUCAAACAAGAGGAAGAGCCCCAGGCUGGGGCCCCACAGGAGACCAAGGACAGUGACAUGCACGAGGGCACCUAUGCUGAUGAAGAACUUGUCCUCAAAGCUGAAAGCCUUGCCAGAGCCUCCUUGUGCCCAGAGCUUCCGGUCACCUUCUCUUCUCCACCACCAGCAGCAAAGGAUACUUUUUCAGAUGUGACUUUCAAAGGUCAGCCCUCUGCAUCCAUGGCACCUUUCGGGCGUCCGGCUGCCGACCUGGCUGAAGCCUCUGAGGGACAAGUGACUUUUACGCAGUUGGGUAGCUACCCCCUGCCACCUCCAGCUGGGGAGCAGGUCUUCUCAUGCCACCACUGUGGCAAGAGCCUCAGCCAAGACAUGCUGCUCACCCACCAGUGUAGCCACACGGGUGAGAACCCGUUACCCUGAGCCCAGUGCCCGAAACACCUCCCCCAGCAGGCCGACCUGGGCAGCAGCUCCCAGCCGCAUGCUAGCGAGACGCCCCCCACCUGUCCACACUGCGCCAGGACUUUCACUCACCCGUCCAGACUCACCUACCACCUUCGGGUGCAUAACAGCACCGAGCGCCCUUUCCCCUGCCCUGACUGCCCCAAGCGCUUCGCCGACCAGGCCCGGCUCAGCAGCCCCGGCGAGCUCACGCCAGCCAGCGUCCCAUGCGCUGCGCCCGGUGCGGCCGGAGCUUCAGCCUGAAAAUCAGCCUCCUGCUCCACCAGCGGGGGCACGCACAGGAGCGGCCCUUCUCCUGCCCGCAGUGCGGCACUGACUUCGAGGGC
rnacentral:lncRNA from 12 species